UUUCAAUCCUAUCCUAUCCUGCAUCUCAUUCACUCAAAAAAAUAAAAACCCUUAACAUUCAAACUUUACUUUCCCAAAAUUUCACUCACCCUUGUUCGUUCACCAUAAACCCUAAAAUUGUUUGUGGCUUUGUAUUGAUGGGGGGAUACAAAGCUUUCACCCUAGUUCAGAUCCACCCUCUUUCACUCUCGUUUCCAUUCUGGUUCCAAUUCAUACUCCUUCACCCUCGUUUUCGCACCGGAAACCACCGCCCUCCAAGAUCGUUCCUCCACAAGUUUGUGUUAAAUUAUUGUAGUCAUUGUUUCAGAUGCGUUUUGGAUUAGCUUUGCCGAUGUCGGAGCUUUGUGUCUCCAUCAUCGCCUCUCUGUCACAACCUUCGUUUUUAUUCUUAUUCUUUAUUGGCCGUGAGGACCUAGACCCAUGUGUUGUUACUGUUUCAAGAGGAGACAUGGGACAUUUAGACCUAAAUAUCGAAGCCUCUUCGCGUUUCUCGGUCACAGUCUCUUCAACGUGAUUAUGGGUCUUCUGCAGGUCCUCUGAUGCCCUGAAUAGGUGGCUGAAGCAGUGCUUCAGUGAUGUUGGUGUAGCAGAUUUUCUACUGUCAUAUCUUUUUUGGGGCACUUGUAUAUGAAAAACCUUCCUACAAGCUUAAAGGUUGUUACUGAUGAUAUGGAAGUGCAUAAAAGUACAAGUGUCGAAUAUGGUACUCUAUGCAACCUUCAACUUGUUAAAGGGAUGCUUCAUAAGUUAUGUAGACAUGUAGUAAUUAACACUAGGCAAACGCGUCAUCACGAAAGAAUUUAUGUUUACAGCUCUUUUUUAUCUUACAAAUUAUGUUUGGAUAGUUUUUUGGUGUAGACUUUACUUUCGAUUUGUUAGACAUACACUUGGUUUGUUUUUUCUAGUGUUAUUGUUGUAUGACAUAAUGUUGUCACUAUUUUA